rnacentral:lncRNA from 1 species
CCAUGACUAUUCUAUUUAUUCAAAGAAGGAAAAAUUUUAAAUACCACCUAUGUGAUGUCACGUUUUCUUAUUUUAGUAUCGUAUGAUUUAAAAUGUAUCACUUUAGUACCAUAUAGUUUCGUUUUUUUUUUCGUUAUUUCCUCCGUUAGUUUUUUUGUUAAAUCAAUGACGAUGUUGAAACCAUAGGGUAAUAAAGUUAAAAUUUGGUAAAAUCACAGGGUGUUAAAGUAAAAAUUUGGUAAAAUUACAGGAUACUAAAGUGAAUAUUCGAUAAAACAUAGGUGAGGUAUCUGAAGUUUUUUGUAUACGAUUUUAAUAGAAAGUUAACAGGAGUGCUGACGAAAAAAAUAAAAUAAAAUCACAGGAUAAUAAAAUAAUACAUUUUAAAGGCCAAAUUAUAUAAAACUUUUCUGUUAAAACCCGUUUUUUCACUUUCCUUCAUGUCAUUUAAAAAUCUAUACUUUUUUUUCUUGUAAAAUAAAAAAUGUUCUCAGGGGGUACGGUGUUAACUAUAAUGACAAAAUGAUCAAUUUGCCCCUCAACAGGCGGCAAUGUUAAGAAGAGGAGACUGAGGAUAUUUUUUAUAUAAAAAAAUAUAUAAUAAUUUUUAUAAACGGAAUCCUAACGGAGCACUAACGGCAGGGAAUGAAGUGAACAUUUUAUUUUAUAAGAAGACAAAGUGUAGACUUUUAAAUGAUAGGUGAAAAAGUAAAAAAGCGGGUAUUGAUAGAAAGGUUUUCUGAAAUUUAGCUUAUUUUAAACUAUAGGGUACUCAGAUGAGAAA